AAUUGGUCUCCCUGGGGGAACUGGGCAAGGUGAGAUUUUCCCCUGCUCUUUUGGACCCUAUGUGCUAUGCAAGCCUUUGUUGUGCCUGAGCCUGUGUUCUCAUAAUGCACCAUACAGAAACUAGCUCCAAGACCCUUAGGGUUGACAACCUACAGUUACUGAAAUACACAGGACAAAAGGUCAUUUUCCUCAUGUAAAGGAGCUGGUAUCAGAUGUUACCUUGUGAAAAAGCCUUGUCUGAUGCAGAGAUUCAGGGACAGAGUGACACCAUGUGGAAUAAAACAGAGCUACCUCAAAAGGCUGACAUGCUCUUCUAAAAGAGCAUGAACUGAAAACAACAGCAAACAAAAACCUGACUUAUCAAUUGGGAUCAUGCCUUUAAGAUAUGGCUUCUAAAAAGAAAUUUCUACGUUUCCUUCUAAUUGAAAUGAUCUUAUAUGCUCAUGUUUAUUUGGAACAGUGGGAGUUUUCUGGCAACAUUUACAACUUCUCUCCUGGUCAAGAUCUCUGAAAACUCACCGUGUGAUUCUGGCUUUGCCUCCCACCAAGUGACCUGUUAUGGUUUUCCCUCCCACUAGAUGGCAGUGGCUUCCGGUCUCUGGUAAUGCUAUUUACUUCCUGUGUUUCUCCAUCCCUCGUUUCUGGAUUUGCUUUACCAUGAAACUUUGACUUUUCACUUAUCUGCCACCUACGUAAGAAGCUCCCAGAAUUAAAUGAUCUCAUUUGAAAUAUCUAGAGUGGUUUCUGUGUCCUUUAAUGGACCUUAACUGAUACUGUAUAGCACUUCCCCAAGCAUUGUUUAUAUAAUGCAGUAACUGAAAGGGCAAUUACUGAAGAGGCAUUGAAGUGUGCUACACUUGGGAUAUCGCACUAAUAAUCUGAAAUUACCAAAUUUCUUCUUAGACUAGUACUGAUCCAUGGGGUGGAGGUGGGGUGGCCUGAGCUGUGGAAAGAGGAUGAAUUCAUCCAAAUGUUAGUUAGCUAUGAUGGAGGACUAUUCUUCUAUUUUAGUCUUUUAUUCUUGAGAAUAGGAAAGAAAAAAAUGGCUCCAGCAUAACUCUGAGCAUUCCUUUGGUCCUAUAUUCCUGUACAAAUAUAAUGAGACACCUAUUUGGCCAGCACGCCACUUUGGCAUCUGCCCUCAUGCUUGAUAGAGAUGGAUGUGGAUAAAAUUAGCUGUUAUAAAUGUGGGUAAUAUAAAAACUUGUUGUAUGAUUAGACUAAGUAUCCAAUGAAUCUAUAAACGUGAGACUAAUUUAGAUACAGUACUCAAAAGUGGAACUUGCGUAUUUACUUAUGCACUAUGGUGCUGGAACUCAAAUCUGUCAAGUGGUUAUGUCAAGAGGCUGGUGAAAUCCACAUCAGUUUAGUUUGCCAGGUUUGCUGUAAUGAAGUACCACAGAGUGGUUGACAGCAACAGGAAUUUAUGGUCUCACCUAGAAGUCCAAAAUCAAGGUGUUGGCAGGAUUGUGCUUUCUUAUAAGUCUGUGGAGUUCUGGUGGUGGCUCAUGGGAAAUCUGUGGCUCAAUCUCAGCCUCUGUCACAUGGCCACCUCUCUCCAUUGGCCUCCUCCUCCCUGUUUCCAAAUUUCCUUUGCUUAUGAGGACUUGAGUCAUAUUGGCUUAAGGCCCACCCUGAUUCAUUUUGGUCUCACCUUAACUAGUAACCUCUUUAAAGAUCCUAUUUACAAAUGGGUUCACAUCCACAGGAAGUAGGUGAUGGGGGAGACAAACACAGAAAAAUGAUGGAGAAGAAUUUAGUAAGUGUUACUUGCAUAUAAGAGGGGCAUAGGGAAUCUUUUUGCUAACUAAACUCAUGGAAUUUAUCCUUACAAUAGGUGGUUCUCUAUAAAGAAAUUUAAUAGUUCUGAACACCAAUAUGAAAUGGGAUAUAUUGACAAGGUAGAAUUUCAGGGUCACUGGAACUUUCCAUUAUUGACUUGGUGACCUAAAAAUUUCAGUGAAGGAAUAUCAACAGCAUGAAACCUGAGAAAAGAUAAUCCUGAACUUAAGUUCAGCCCAAAGAAAUCAUAUAAAUCAGAGAGGAAUAGAUGAACUAUAUAACUGUUUUCAAUUUCUGUUUAUUCACAAAAGUACAUUUGGAUUACAUAAACAAAUUAAUUAUCCAUUCUUGAAUUUGAGUAUUUUGAUUUUUUUAAACACUUUAAUCUCAAAUAGUGGUUAAUAAAGGAAGUCUGGGUUAUACAAUAUUUUUAAGGGGGAAAUUGCUUAUUUCUGUUGAAACUCUUCUUUAAGUAAGUGCCUGGAUUCUUUCUUUCCAGGCCAUCUCCUGUUGCCAGGAAAAUAAUACCCAGAUUUAUGUUUUUCUGACUGAAUGGUCUCUUUCUGCAAUGACAGUGAGCAAUUUUAUUUUUUUAAAUAAGGCAGUAAGUUCAAGGAAAAUUGAACAGUGAUUUACAGCAUUUGGGUACACAUUUACUCAAAUUGCAAGAGCGGGAAUUUGCCAGUUGUAGUCAAGUAAGGCAGAAGUUUUUUUGGUGGUGGUUGUGGCAUAGAUAGCUGUUGAAAUUUCUAGUUUGUCUGCAAUUGCAGAGAACUUCAAGGUGAAAAUUUUGCUCUUCAACCCAUUGUUUAGACACAGGAAAACAAAUUUAUUUUACUUUAAGGAAUAUCCCACUAAUAUAAAACUUUACAAUUGAAGACUAUUGCUAUAUGGCCUUCUUUAACUAAUAAAUGAACUUCAAAAAAUCCAGGAGUUAGGCUUAAAUGGGUACAUAACCUGAAGCUUGAGAAUCUUAGCCAUCCCUUCUUAAGUCUGAAUAAAUUGAGUGAUAUUUGUGGAUUUGACACUCAUUUAGUAACAAAACACUUUAGUUUCAAAUAGUUUAAAACCUAAAGUUUUAGACAACAGUGUCUGGAUUUCUCUUCACAAAGAAAUUUCUAACAUUUGAAUUCAGUCUAAUGAAGACUUUGAUUCCAAAGUGUAAGUAUGGAUUCAUACCAUACCAUUACUUACAUUGUUUUAAAACAGUGACUAGCCGUUUACAAGAUAUUAUCCAUAACAAUUUUAACAAAUCAGAAAAGAUUUUGAUUUUAAUUUUGAAUUCAUCAAUAAAGGCCAAUACAGAAUACUCUUUCACGAAUAGCAAAUAUUUCAUUUUCCUAAAGCAGGAUAAAUGCUGUGGGAAAUGUUAAGUAAUUCUUUCUUUGAUGAUUAUCAAAUAUAAGCAUUUCACUUCAGGACAGAAGAUACUUUCCAUUGGCUUUUCAAUUACAUUUUUCUCUAUUUGAAGCAAGAAGAAUGAAUUGUGUUUUCUCAUUCAAUAUCAAGUCUUAAACUAACAUAUCUACUGUUAUUUACCAAAUAGCAAGAACAAAUUUUGAAUUUAAAAUCCUAUCCAUUUGAAUCCUGUUACAAUUAAGACAUUAGGGAGUUUUGCAGAUUAAUACUAAUGCCUGAGGUUCUGAUAGGAGUUUCGGUUGUACAAGCGUGUGUAUUUGUCAAAACUAUUUCAUUGUGUGUAAAUUUUAUCUCAAAAUAAAACAACGUGAACAACAAAGAACAACUGUAAACAAUUAGGGGGAUAUCUACUAAUAACUAAAAAUAACUUUCUAUUAAGUAUGCAUAACAAAAUGGAUUGACUGAUGGAUGGAAAGAUGUCAUGAUCAAGUAUAGUUAAAUGUUAAUGGUAGAAUCUGGGGAGUGGUAUUGAAUGUUCACUAUAAAAUAGUUGAACAAAUAUUUUACAUUAAAGACUUUUCAUAAUGUUUUUGAACUAUAAUUAAAAGCAGAAUUGCAUACCUAUAUCUACCUAAAGAAAGAAGUCUAUUUUGUUUUUAGAGAUGUCUUGUAUGUAGUUAAAGAUAUCACAUGGUUCAGUCCUUCUGAGACCCAUGAUUUGCACAAAUAAUUAUGAAAUAAAUAUUUUCUGUAGGGAAGAUAAUAAACAAAUGAGAACUUU